rnacentral:rRNA from 1 species
AUGCAAGUCGAGCGAUAUAGCGGCGAACGGGUGAGUAACACGUUGGAACCUGCCCCAGACUCAGGGAUAGCCCACCGAAAGGUGGAUUAAUACCGGAUAGUCCUGAAAGGGUAAAGAUUUAUCGGUCUGGGAGGGGCCUGCGGCCUAUCAGCUUGUUGGUGAGGUAAAAGCUUACCAAGGCUACGACGGGUAUCGGGUGUGAGAGCAUGACCCGACACAAUGGAACUGAGACACGGUCCAUACUCCUACGGGAGGCAGCAGUGAGGAAUCUUCCGCAAUGGGCGAAAGCCUGACGGAGCGACACCGCGUGAAGGAUGAAGGCCUUUUGGUUGUAAACUUCUUUUCUGAGGGAAUAAAUGAUGAAGGUACCUCAGGAAUAAGCACCGGCUAACUACGUGCCAGCAGCCGCGGUAAUACGUAGGGUGCAAGCGUUAUCCGGAAUUAUUGGGCGUAAAGGGUUCGUAGGCGGCGAAGCAAGUUUACAGUUAAAUCUGAUGGCUCAACCAUCAAACCGCUGUGAAAACUACUUUGCUAGAGAAUGGCAGGGGCAACUGGAAUUCCACAUGUAGGGGUAAAAUCCGUUGAUAUGUGGAGGAACACCAAAAGCGAAGGCAGGUUGCUGGGUCAUUUCUGACGCUGAGGAACGAAAGCGUGGGGAGCAAACAGGAUUAGAUACCCUGGUAGUCCACGCCGUAAACGAUGGAUACUCGAUGUGGGAGGGACUCGACCCCCUUCUGUGUCUAAGCUAACGCGUUAAGUAU